GAGACAGCAGCCGCCGCGGGAAAACGUAGGGUGCAAGCGUUAAUCGGAAUUACUGGGCGUAAAGCGUGCGCAGGCGGUUUUGUAAGACAGAGGUGAAAUCCCCGGGCUCAACCUGGGAACUGCCUUUGUGACUGCAAGGCUAGAGUACGGCAGAGGGGGAUGGAAUUCCGCGUGUAGCAGUGAAAUGCGUAGAUAUGCGGAGGAACACCGAUGGCGAAGGCAAUCCCCUGGGCCUGUACUGACGCUCAUGCACGAAAGCGUGGGGAGCAAACAGGAUUAGAUACCCCAGUAGUCCCUGUCUCUUAUAA
rnacentral:rRNA from 1 species